GCUUCUCCAGCCUCAGGUCAGCUGCAUUGCCUUGCAAGAAUCACCCGAACAGGCUGAUACAAAGAGUUCAAAGUUUAACCUCUGCACACUACUAGAGCUUUUUGGAGAACCCCUUGGAGAACUCCAAAGAACAUCUUUGCAAGUCCUGCUAAUGAGACCCCACACUCCUUUACCCAGCUCUGAACUGAUACAGUCAGAGGAUUCUUUGGUUGGCAAGAUAUCACCUGCAAGGAGGACAGUCUUCAAGUCUUUGUUCAACAUUUGGGGUUUUUUUUAAACCCAUCUGGUAAAGGAUUUCUGUAAAG